rnacentral:rRNA from 1 species
GAUGAACGCUAGCUACAGGCUUAACACAUGCAAGUCGAGGGGCAGCAUGAUUGAAGCUUGCUUCAAUCGAUGGCGACCGGCGCACGGGUGAGUAACACGUAUCCAACCUGCCGAUAACUCGGGGAUAGCCUUUCGAAAGAAAGAUUAAUACCCGAUAGUAUAGUAUUUCCGCAUGGUUUCACUAUUAAAGAACUUCGGUUAUCGAUGGGGAUGCGUUCCAUUAGAUAGUUGGCGGGGUAACGGCCCACCAAGUCAACGAUGGAUAGGGGUUCUGAGAGGAAGGUCCCCCACAUUGGAACUGAGACACGGUCCAAACUCCUACGGGAGGCAGCAGUGAGGAAUAUUGGUCAAUGGACGAGAGUCUGAACCAGCCAAGUAGCGUGAAGGAUGACUGCCCUAGGGGUUGUAAACUUCUUUUAUACGGGAAUAAAGUGGAGUAUGCAUACUCCUUUGUAUGUACCGUAUGAAUAAGGAUCGGCUAACUCCGUG